rnacentral:sRNA from 1 species
AAAUCAUCUCAUUAGGAGUCGUUUUAGUGUGUUUUACAUACUUAGGACGAUUUUGCAUUAGGAUUGCAUGUGCAUGGCAUAUUUGGUUGUUUUCAGGUAUUUUGGAUGCUUUUGGAGUUCAAACAGAGGAAAAACAGAAUAUGAAGUCGGAAUGCCCAAUGACGCCUUCAGCAAAAGUACUCUAUCGCAGCCUCGGAGCCCUGCCAGGGCAAAUCACUCUAUCGCAACCCCGGAGAAGCAAGCAGCUCAGUUUCACUCAAUCGCGAAGCCGGAGGAAUCACCCCAUCAGAACCACUCGAUCACCACUCGACCACCAAGAAGCCUAUCUGCUCUUUCUGCACUCAACCAGACAAGCUGAGAACAAAGAAUAGAAGAGAAGCCGAAGAAGCCACUCGAUCACCACCUCAUGACAUCCACUCGAUCGCACUCGAUCACAGGAUCGCUGGACCAUUCAAUCUCGACUUCACUGCAUCUUAGUCGAUUGCAAGACGGAGCCCCUAAAGCCCAGUUUGAUCAAUGACAUACUCGAUCACUAGGAAGCUCAUUUCAGCCCGUCAGAUGCCAAUGACAUAUUCGGUCGCAGGAUCAUGACGUGAAGAUUCGCUAUAUAUUUAGUUUCCUUAUUUGUUUCAUUUCUCGCUUAUAUAAACUGCCUCUUAGGGUUUUCCCUAGGGCAUCCGUUAUUAUCUCGCUUUUACAUUUUCGCAACUUUCAUAGCCGCAAUGUUUCUCCUGCGACUUUGUAUUUUCACUUUCAAGUAUUUGAUAUUAAGUUUUCGUUUAAGUCUUUCGUCAUUUCUGUUAUCAUGUUUUCAAUCGUUGCUUUGCUAUUGUCUUUGAUUAUGUCUGAGUAGUGAACUGUAUUUCUGAGGAUGGGAUAGAAUAGUUGUGGUUUACUUGGUCGUUUUAGGUUGUUGAGUUUAGAAUACUAGAAUCCCUUCUGGAUUAGUUGCGCUUAUUGCUUGUUUCACUGGCUAAUGUGGAGUAUGAGUCCAGACGUCCAGCGCUCAUAAGGCGUUUAAGCGUUGAAUCCUAUUAAUUCCAGAGAUAUCUGACUCUACCCCAAGGGAUUGGCUGUAGAGAGGGUAUUGACUUUAACAUGUUGAUUCGAUAAUGCCUGCUUAGUUAGAGAUCGCUAAAGGGAUUUAGGUCAGUGUCUAGCUUUGCUUGAGGAUUUCUAUCACGGGAGUGAAUUAAUCUGUUGUUGAACUUGUUGUCUAGGGAUAGCUUCUGUGAAGUUUUCUCAACCGCCUGAAUAGAUUAAGUAGACCACACUAUUCGAUUAUCCCAUCCUUAGGAAUCGUUUAUCCAUUUGAUUGCCUGUUAUCAUUUCUGCUUUGUCAUUCACUUGCCUGCUAUUGCCAUUUCUGCUUUUAGUUUCAUUUCAUUUCUGUUAUUGCAUACUAGGAAUGUUAGAACCAACCAACUUUCUUCUUGGCUUGACUUAGAGUUUUCUGAUCAUAUCUCAUCUGUUUGCAUCACACCGGAUUGGAUUGACAUCCUAAAAUAGUACAACGACAAGAUAGUGUUUUAGGGAUUAAUUGAGUAAAAUCCUACUAUCAAUUUGGCGCCGUAGCCAAUUUAGGGUUUGUUUGCUAUAUUUGAGAUCAUUAGAAACGUUAAGAUCAAGUUCGUUUUUGUUACACAAGUUACUAACAUUGUGCCUUUUCUGUCUUUGUGUUUCAGGUACCUUGCAACCUGCUUUACAGAAGUAUCUCUGAUUCGUCUAUUAUAUCCCGGCUGCUAUCUGUUGCAUGCAUACACGGUCACAAGGAAAUCUGAACCUCCUAUUCAACGAUAACAUCGACAGUAUUGCUC